AUGACCCUUAAAUGGUGCUCAGCCACCAUCCGAUUUCGAGGGAGAAUAGGAGACCCCGACGAAAAUGAGCGUCCUAGCAGCGAACCCAAGGAUGCCGGUGAUUACGGCAGGUCCAUGCUCCUGUUCUUCUAUUGGGCUACGCCCCCAAUGGUGAAAAUCCCCUACAGAAUGGUGCUGGAUGUCCUUUUAGAAUCUUUGGGCCUGCCAGUGGCUGAGUAUCGAACCAAAGCAUGCGACCUCUUUGAAGUGCAGCACCAUCCUACCCCCUUUGGCCCUUCCCGUCCAGUUUUGCCUCACCAUGUAAGCAUCCAUCUGCUCCUCCUCUAG
rnacentral:rRNA from 1 species